UACGUAGGGUGCAAGCGUUAAUCGGAAUUACUGGGCGUAAAGCGUGCGCAGGCGGUGAUGUAAGACAGGUGUGAAAUCCCCGGGCUUAACCUGGGAACUGCAUUUGUGACUGCAUCGCUGGAGUGCGGCAGAGGGGAUGGAAUUCCGGCGUGUAGCAGUGAAAUGCGUAGAUAUGCGGAGGAACACCGAUGGCGAAGGCAAUCCCCUGGGCCUGCACUGACGCUCAUGACACGAAGGCGUGGGGAGCAAACAGG
rnacentral:rRNA from 1 species